GGGAAUGUGGCUUAGUGGUAGAGUGCUUGCCUAGCACGCAUGAAGCCCUGGGUUUGGUUCCUCAUUACCA
rnacentral:tRNA from 1 species